GAGGGGCAGCAUGGUCUUAGCUUGCUAAGGCUGAUGGCGACCGGCGCACGGGUGAGUAACACGUAUCCAACCUGCCGUCUACUCUUGGCCAGCCUUCUGAAAGGAAGAUUAAUCCAGGAUGGGAUCAUGAGUUCACAUGUCCGCAUGAUUAAAGGUAUUUUCCGGUAGACGAUGGGGAUGCGUUCCAUUAGAUAGUAGGCGGGGUAACGGCCCACCUAGUCAACGAUGGAUAGGGGUUCUGAGAGGAAGGUCCCCCACAUUGGAACUGAGACACGGUCCAAACUCCUACGGGAGGCAGCAGUGAGGAAUAUUGGUCAAUGGGCGAUGGCCUGAACCAGCCAAGUAGCGUGAAGGAUGACUGCCCUAUGGGUUGUAAACUUCUUUUAUAAAGGAAUAAAGUCGGGUAUGCAUACCCGUUUGCAUGUACUUUAUGAAUAAGGAUCGGCUAACUCCGUGCCAGCAGCCGCGGUAAUACGGAGGAUCCGAGCGUUAUCCGGAUUUAUUGGGUUUAAAGGGAGCGUAGAUGGAUGUUUAAGUCAGUUGUGAAAGUUUGCGGCUCAACCGUAAAAUUGCAGUUGAUACUGGAUGUCUUGAGUGCAGUUGAGGCAGGCGGAAUUCGUGGUGUAGCGGUGAAAUGCUUAGAUAUCACGAAGAACUCCGAUUGCGAAGGCAGCCUGCUA
rnacentral:rRNA from 1 species